CAACAACAUUCAUCAAAAUCUAAUAAAGACAACUAACUGUCUGAGAGCACCCUGGGUGUAGGGAAUGGAGCUCGAAUCGAAGCUGGUCGAUUCUCCAUUUAAAAAAUACUUCUUUGAUUCACAUUACAGCUCCUCCUUUUUUGAAAACUAUCCAAACAAUGGAAAAGUUCUGUAAAAGCAAUGACCAAACUCCGCAAACCCGACACAUCUGAAGCUUUCACCGACUCCGCCGCACUCAACUUUAUUGGAUUUCUAGAGAUGUCUGCUCUCUGACUCACCUCACCGUUUGAGGCUGAUUCAAAGCCAAAUGUUGGUGGAAAAUGUGGUGUAGAAAUGCUUCUAGGAAGGGCCGAGAGCACACACGAAUUGAGGACGCGUGUGUGUUCAGUUACCGUGAAAUUAUGAGCACCUUUACAGCACCAACAGCACGACAAACGACAACGUCAACGACAAGCUUAAGCUGCUUAAAACAAGCCAUUUCCCGUGGAGAGCGAAAGGGGUAGCGAAACGUGGUAAGCCAAGUUGAUUUUUGGGGGCAGGGUGGGAAAAGUGAAAGUGUCAAGGAUGCGGCAAGCGUUUCAUAGUCAAAUUAAAUUGCUGCCAGCAAGGUUAUAAAGGGGGGGGGGGGGGGGGGGGGGGGGGGAGGGAAACCCCUGGCCAUGUCUCAUUCGCAGCCACAGUGAAAGGAUAAAGCGAGCAUAAAAACAUUUUUAAUGAAAUCGAGACGACUUCCAACGGAGACAGAGACGACGAAGACGACAACAUCCCUACAGCCAAGACAGCCAUCGUCUAAGACUGUUACAAGUGUGUUUUAAUUUAAACCUUGCCUUUACCUUCCUGAAAAGCAUGGGGGCAUGGCGCAUUAAUUUCAUAUCCCGCUUGCCGCUUGAAAAUUUUAAUUAAUUUUCAGCUUGAUUGCGUUUUAAAGAGCCGCUUGGUUUAUGUAUCGGUAGUUGGGGUAAGGGUAGGGAUCCCAAAAGAGCCUGUGGUUGCCUUGGGCCUGAGAAAUUUAUAGUUAUUGUGGUGGAAAUUGGGGAGGGGGAAGCGUCCCACUAUGGUCCCGCUAUGGACGGACGCGUCCGUCUGUGCCUUGUAGUUAUAGUGGAUAACCCUUUGUUUUGGUUACUUUGUGCUUUGAACAUUUUUCGGUCUUCGGCUCUAAACCAUUCCAGACAAUUUACACUUCUAGUGUACUACUUAAUUAAUUUCGGAUCGGAUUGUAUCUGCGAAAGAAUAGCUACUGGAAGACUCACCUUUAGUGGUAUGCCUGUCCACGAUUGGAUCCUUGAGUCCUGCAAAGACAUAGAGUAAUUCAAAUAAAAGCGGCUUCUCUUCUCUUUUCAGGGAGGGGUUCUGCGCUGUUUGGUCCUAUAAAUCUC
rnacentral:lncRNA from 1 species